UGGCUCAGAACGAACGCUGUCGGCAUGCCUAACACAUGCAAGUCGUACGAGAAAGCUUCUUCGGAAGUGAUUAGAGUGGCGCACGGGUGAGUAACUCGUAGGUGAUCUACCAUUUGGCGGGGGAUAACCAGAAGAAAUUCUGGCUAAUACCGCAUACGUACUGCAAUUUUGAAAGUAGCAGUAGAAAGAGUGCCUCUCCUUGGAAGCACUUACCAAAUGAUGAGCCUGCGUAGCAUUAGUUUGAUGGUGGGGUAAUCGCCUACCAUGACUACGAUGCUUAGCUGGUCUGAGAGGAUGAUCAGUCACACUGGAACUGAGACACGGUCCAGACUCCUACGGGAGGCAGCAGUGGGGAAUAUUGCGCAAUGGGGGAAACCCUGACGCAGCAAUGCCGAGUGAGUGAGGAAGGCCUUCGGGUUGUAAAGCUCUGUCAGAAGGGAAUAAUGGUAUAGGGUCCAAUAGGCCUUAUAUUUGAGGGUACCUUCAAAGGAAGCACCGGCUAACUUCGUGCCAGCAGCCGCGGUAAUACGAAGGGUGCAAGCGUUGUUCGGAUUUAUUGGGCGUAAAGCGCGCGCAGGCGGAUUGUUAAGUCAGAUGUGAAAUCUCGG
rnacentral:rRNA from 1 species